rnacentral:lncRNA from 1 species
GGGUUCCCGGCCCCCGGCCGCGGACGCUCACCGUGUUGCCCGCUGCUUACCCAUACCCCCCCCCCCCCGCGCGCUCCGGGUGUCUCGCAGGCAGUGGCCCCGGCGGGGGCGGUGUGGCGGGUGCGGCCCGCCCUCAGUGAGAAGCCUCUUCCCUAGCGAUCUGAAGGAAAAGGGUGUGCGUUGUGUCUCACCGGGGUAGGCCGAGUCCACCCCGUUGGCCGCCCUCCCUUCGUGGACCCUCUCUCCCCGCCCCGCCGUGGGUUAGGAAGGGGGUUCCUUCUGCCCGCUCUCCGCCUCAACCGCGGCCCGCGCCUCCCCCCUCCGAGUCGGGGGAGGGUCCCGCCGGGCCCCGGCCGGGCGUCCGGUGCUUUGGGGUGGUGAGGGGUGGCCGUUGCGCGUGAGCGCCGCGGCCCCCCCUCCGUGGUCGGCGCUAGCGCGCCGGUGUUGGGGGGCCGGGGCCCGUGCUGCUCCGCCUCGCGUCCACCCCGCCCGCCCGCGAGUGAGCGGUCGCCUCCGCUCCGCCGCUUACCGUCCGGUCUUGCGCCGCAACCGGCGCCGACGGUUGCGCGCGUGCGGGCGCGGGGUCGGGGGCCGCGUUGUUUCCCGCCCGCGCAGGAGCGGCGCGCCAGGGGUUGCAGAUUCCCCGGGGCCUUGGGGGCUCGGCGGCCGUGGUGUCAGUCGGCAGAGGCGGAACCGGGAUAACCAAUCUUAA